rnacentral:lncRNA from 1 species
UGACAAAGCUUUGGAGAAGGAAAGAGCAUAUACAAGCAGAGAAGUCAGGACAUACUUAAGAAGGAUCAAAAAACCACCAAAAGAAAGAAAUCAACUCUUCCACCCAAACAAUCUAUUUCUAAUACGGGUAUGAACCGGAUCCCAAAGCAACAAUCGCCGAGGAUCACCACCAAUAGGAAGGCCUAGAUACAAAAAAAGACACCUUGCUCGCCGUACAAGUGGUUGUUGUUGCUAUUGAUAGCUAACGAAAUUUUCGACAUUUUGGUACCAGUUUCAUGAGUUUUGGUUCAGUAUUAAGUUCUGGAGGCAACUUUGAAGUAUGGGGUCUGAUGCAGAUUUUUGAAGUAUGAAUAGGCGAGGAGAUGCAGAAGAGAAAUAUUAAGUGGAGUUCGCAUAAGCCGAACUUAUCAUCAUACUCAAAUUUAGAGGUGAUUUCUUGUUAGUUUAGCACUUCAGCAUGGGUGUGUUUGUGUGAGUUUUGUGAGAAAACUACGAAGUAUGCAUUAUACAUGAUAAAAUUAGCUUCCCCUUUGUAAUGUAAUGUGUUAACCAUGUUUAAAAUUAAUGAUUUCUAAUGCCUUGAUAUUGAAAUAAGCUGUUUGGGAUAAUUAUUUGCGAAAAAGUGAUUCCGAAUGCUGAAAAUGUGAUUUUUGCAGGUAGGUAAUAAAUUACCUACUGAUGGUAAUCAAUUACCAGAAGCUUCUGGUGCCCAAAAAUCACUUCUGACCUUGGUAAUAGGUUACCCAAUGAUAGUGAUUUAUACCAACCUUACAUUUAGCAUAAAUCACUUUAUGAAACACUAGUUUUGCUUUUAAAGAUUUUAAAUUUCAUUCCACGGAUCAUUUCAACAUUUUAUGGAUCUUUUAAGAGUGAAUCAAGAUUUAACACAUGAUUAAUACGAUAUAUUAAAAGAGUGUUCUCAUGAAGAAUCAUUAGUAACGCGGGUAGAUUCUAACAUUAAGGAAAUGGGGGACUUAGUAUGAGACUUGAUUUAAAUAAUCGAAUUUAGUACAACCAAGAUAUUAGAACAUAUUAGAUAUAUGCUACAAAAUUUAUAUCCAGAUACUUAUAUAUACAUGUCGACAAGUUGUGGCUCAGGUAAGCACCAGACUAUGUUAGGAUAGGUCAACCCAUCAGGGAACCUUCAUGAUGACUCGUACAUAUAUAUAUAUAUAUAUAUAGACACACACACAUACAGAUAAUGUAAUAAUAAAUAUUUCGUGUCCCUCAGCAGGUUCUGAUGGAUGGGUUUAUCAUAGAUGGUAAACCACACGUAGUCAGAGGAAUUCCGGUGAUUAGCCUCAGAUAGGAGUUUUCAUCGGAUAGCAGUGGGAUGGUGACCGACGUUACUCCACUCAGGAUCCAUUCAGUAAAAUCAAUCCAGAUAAAAAUUGUUUGUUCAACACUUAGCUUAUAACAUUAAUAUGAAAACAGAAUACAAAUAUGUUUAUGCAUCAGAGCAGACUUAUGAUAGAGCACCGUAACAAUCCUAGUUUUUCCUUGAUCGUUCAGUUAUGUAGAACAGAACUGUAUAAACCCAAACAGGUUGAGCUUAGUCAGAUGGCAAUCAUAGGUUUUCCCCGAGAUUGCCUACAACCUAGGAUAGGUGGAACUCACUGAGACAUCAUGCCUCAUCCCAAUCCUUUCAUUUUAUUUUACAGAUUAUCAGGUUGCUCGUAUCAAGAGGAGGCAGAUAUGCAGGUGAAUGGAUUAUCGUCAAUAACUCGUUUCGUACCAAUUCUAGAUAUUUUAUGUAUUCGAAUACUUAUUAGAUAUAUGUAUUUGGCAGUUGAUAUUUUAUCAGAUGUAUAAACUUGUAAGGUAUAUAGUCAUUGAAAAGAAAUUAUGCUGUAAUUUUAAUGUAUCCAGUAUUAAGUUUAACACACAUGCUAAAUAUUUUAGAUAAAUUUAGUAUGGAUGUUACAUUUGGUAUCAGAGUCUGGUUGAUUCAGAUCGUGUCCUGGAUCAUUAGAAAUCAACGAAUGUAGUGGGACCAUUGGGUUCCAGAUAUUUAUUAUAAAUGUCAUAUCUAGUUGAGCCUGAUAAACUCAAUCUAGUUUAUGGCAGUUAGAAUAGUUGUUUGAGAGCUGAAAAGGACCUAGGAGGAAUGAAGCGUAUGAAGAAGGAUCAGGGUGUCAGAACCAAGACGAAUUUUGGUGAAGGAGUACACAACGCCAAAUGGUGGCGGGUAAUCUGUGGAGUUGAAUACGAAGAUUAUUUCGGAACACAGAGAGAAUGUUAAGAUUAAGAAGGAGUACCCUAACAUUGUUGGACAUGUGGGAAAACUGUACUUCACUUAUGGAAAAGUAAGAGACUCAUAAAUCUUUAAGGAUUGAUUUUAAAGCUUUAACGGAAGCCGUAGUUGAGAAGCAGGAAUAAGGUGGAGAGUAAAGCUACAAUCCUAUGCGCAGAUUCAAGAUUGCAUAAUAGAAAGAGAAACUUGGAAUGAGGAAGUCACCAUAUGAUUGAGGGAAUAUAUAAGCUCUCAAUGAAGGUAGAUUAUGUAAGGAACUAAGGACUCGAACGCUCGAAACAGACAAGAUUUUGAUGUCUGGGCGAUUAAGUAAAUUAGCUGAGAAAUAAGUAAUCAUUUUGAGAUAGACGAAGAUGUUAUGCAGUUGUGGAUACUAAAGGAUAAAUAUUUAGUUGGGACGAGACCGGGCAUACUUCGGUAUAUAAUUCAAAUAUUUUCUCAGCCCAAGAAGUUAAUAAGGAACCAACUUUAAUUUAGAAAUGUACGUGAUGGAAAUGGGUCAGACUACCUGCCUUCGGAGCAAGUUAUUAAAGGUCGUCGAACUAAAAAGUGCAAGCUUAGCAGUAUGUGAAAGAGAUUAUAACAAUGGUAAGAGGCAAGAUGUAACUAUUCGACCAAGUCGAGAAAUAGAGACUAGAAAAUAAGUUAACGCGGGAAUAUAGUAGAUCGAUGUGUUAUGGAUUAAUCAGAUAGUUUUGUUGGGGAUUAUUCGAAAUCCUGUUCUACGGAAAUUGUCGCUAGUAUGAAGAAGAAGAGAAUGUAGUAAAGUGUUAAGGAGUUGUAUAUUUUCAGUCGAUGGAUCUGCUUGCACAUUUGUUUUGAAAUCCAAAAGAGUGACUAUAUUGACUGGACUGAAUUGUGGAAACCGAGGCUGUCCCAGAAUAGAACGUAAGUAUGAAUACAACUACGUACAAGAAUGGAUUAGAUGGAGUUAAGUCUCAAACCGUCAAGUUAUUAGUAUAUCUCCAAAGGAAAAUGCGAUAACUAGAAGUGACUCCUCGGUGAUAUAAGUUGGUGUUUCAAAGCAGCAUGUAGAAUGAAGUUAACCUCCUUGUUAUUAGCAUGUAAGUCGGAAGACUUAAUUCUUCUAGAACCAUAGGAGAAGUGAGUUUGGAUAAAUGGUAGUAAUCAGAUUGAAAAUAAGUAGCAUGUCAUAGAGUGAUUUUCGGCUUGAUGGUUGUGAAAUCAUAACAAAGUUAAGUUAAUCGUGGAAUUCUUCGGUAUAGUUGAACUAGUGUACUGGAUGAAGUAAGUUGAUAAAUCAAAGUUGCGCAGCGGAAAAUUAACUAAGAAUAAAGAACGGAUUACGUUGAAGGCUAGGACCGUGGUAUGAGGCAGUUAUGGAAUAUUAGUAUGUAGAGACGAACUGAGUAUAUGGCAAACUGUAAUGAGGAAUCUUAAGAGUCAAGCUAAGAAAUACUUUAAAUAAGAAUCCAGGGGUGACAGAAGUUGAAGCAGUCUAAGAGAAUGUGAUAAAAUAGUGACAGCGUGUCUUGCUGUAUUAAGUCUAAGGCAAUUGGAAUCACCGCUGGUAUGAUAACCCAAUUAAUCGGUUCAGUUACUUCAAGGGGUUAGCAGUAUCGGUUUAGUUAGAAGAGAGUUGUGUACGAGGCGACAAUUAUGAAGGUUGUAUCUGGAGGAUUUUACUUUCGACUCGAAGUGCCAUCCGAAAAUGUCAAGUAUAGUUGCAGGUAUAUGAGCAGGAAGAUAGCACUCGGAGCAGGAUCGAAGAUACCGAACACAUAUUAGUUAGAGAGUUUAAACUCAAUGUUACGAAGGUACAGAAAAGAACGUUAUCACAAAUUGGAAAUCAUAUGUGACCUAAGGUAUGGGACUGUGCAUAUUUAAGAUAUUAAUGCAAGACUAAGAAAGAUGGGAUAAUUUGUUUCAUAUUCCAGUAGCUAACACAGUGUUAUACAAAGACGAAGUAUGUUUUUUCCUUAAGAGAUAAGUUCUAGAAGUGAUUCAGGUGGGUAAUUAUACUUAUCCUAAUACGACUAGGGUGUAUCGUGAAUGACUAAAGAUAUGUCGUGUAUUAAGUCAUCAGUUUUACUACCUUCUGUAUUGGGUACUUGUUAGCAAGUUGUUUACCGGUGUUUUCGGAAAACUACGAGCUAGUUCUGAUUAUUACAAGCGAGACCGAACUAAAAAUCUCAGGAAAUGACGUGCAAAGGUUUUAAUCGAAGAUAGUUUGAAAAAAGGCCACGAGAUGCAGUCAGGUUACUUAGAGAGCAUGACGAGUUAGAUUGCAAGUAAAAGCAAGACAAAAUUAAAGGAAAGAGUAACAGUUUAAACGCAUAAAUUUAAAGGAAAUGUAAAAUGCAUUGCGACCCAUUUUGUAUAACUUGUUUCCCUAGACGCCGGUAGUUUGAGUGUUGUAGAAUUUCUAUAAAUGAUUUGCGACCCAUUUUUCGGCUUGUUUUAGUAGGAUAGUCCAAGAAUUAGCAUGACCCUUUAUAGGCCUCAUUCCUCCUGAUAUAACUCGUAGAAAAACUACUAAAAGUUUUGAAAGUUCCCUUGUUGGUUUCUAUGUUGCCCCAAUUACAGUUAUUGUUUCCUUUUAGUAUUUUUUGAAAUUUUGAGAAUUGGCCGGAUCAUGAGAUUUAUGUUCAGUUUUUCUUGUUUCUUUCUUUUAGUCAUUAAAAAAAACCUUUGUGGUAACUAGAAAAGGAAAUUAGCUAUUAAAUAUUUGGAUGGAUUAUAAAUUUAGUUAUUAUGAUUCAGAUAUGAGUUUAAGUUUUAUAUGUAAUAUUAUGGUGAUAGAAAGUUGGUUAGAUUUGAUAUGUGAUGUAAUAACUGUAGACAUAAGGGGGACAUAUAUUAUGUUGUUGAUUUGCGCAUAUAUUACAAUACGAACUUGGCUUUUACUCGAUUUCUAUUAAAAAAGAACAUAGUGUUUUACCUUUUAAGUCCGACGUAUCGUAUACCACUACUAGAAAAAGUAAAAUUAUGGAGGGAAAUUAGUGAUGGAAAAAAUAAAAUCUCUUACAAAUUUGUUGGUCACAAAAUUUAGUGACAGAAUUAGAGAGGGAUUUCAUGUUUUCCCUCACUAAAUUUCCAUCACUAAUUUUUGUUUUUUUAGUAAUGUACCUACGGUAGUUGUCGAUCUUCACAUAGCAGGAUUUGGUGAUUGUCGUACUAGAAAUGAUAACAACAACUAUACUUGCAUGAGUAGCUUCUCUUUAUAUAUAAAAGCAAGAUUAUUACAGUUGGUCAAUAUGACAAGAGAUAUAGUCCUCAUAAGGAUACGUAUUCGAAAGUAGAAGUAUUCAUUGUAUCUUUUCGUCUUUGAAGUCAUUUCUUUGAGAUGAAGAUCAUUGAGAGAACUGUUGGAUAUUUGUAUUGUCUGCAUUGUUGUUAAAACAAAUAUUCAUGUUUGUGUUGUAAGAUGUAAUGUUUCAACAUGGUUCAGGCAUCUCCGUAAGAUGUUGGAUACGAUGUUCCAACAUCCUGGCAAGAUUCAGUGUGCCUUGUUUCAUGUCUGUUUAUGCGCAUGCGUUAUAUUAUUUAAGGAAACCAUAUUUCCUUAUCUUGCUGACCAAGCUACGCGCAUAUCUGUACAUAAUCAAUUGUACUUUUAUUCCCAAAGGAGCAAUUAUAUUUUAGGGAAAAUUUGGAUGUGAUUGGAAGUUCUGAAAGAUGUUCCUAUUUCUUAGGACUUUCCUUAUUUGUUACUGAUUCGUGUUUUGCAGAUUAGCUGGACGAUCUACUUUGUUAUGAAGCCCAAACAGGUUAAAUGGCCCAUGUUGCUUCAGUAUAAAAGAAAUACUUCAAGACCUAAUUGAGAAUUCAAGAUGUCAUUCUAAAAAGUCUAGCUUUAGGGUUUUGAGUCGUAUGUGUGUCUACUCUUGUAUCAUGUUGAUGUAAGUUUAGUACUAUUUAUUAUUGUGAGCCUUUCUUGUAUUGUUUGUGAUACAUGCUAAGGAUUGUGUAUUGAGUUGUAAAUCUUGUGUGCUACACCAAAGCUUAUAAGCAAGGUUGUAGCUGUUUGUUUGAAGGUAACUUCACUGUUUGUUUAUGUUUUAGUUUGAUAAUCAUAGGUGCUGUGACUAUAGGAAAGUGAGAUGGGAUCUCAAAUUUAGGAGUUCCUAAGUUGAAGUCUAGA